rnacentral:rRNA from 1 species
UGCAAGUCGAACGGAUCCUUCGGGAUUAGUGGCAGACGGGUGAGUAACGCGUGGGAAGCUACCUUGUGGUAGGGAACAACAGUUGGAAACGACUGCUAAUACCCUAUGAGCCCUAUGGGGGAAAGAUUUAUCGCCAUGAGAUGUGCCCGCGUUAGAUUAGCUAGUUGGUAAGGUAAUGGCUUACCAAGGCGACGAUCUAUAGCUGGUCUGAGAGGAUGAUCAGCCACACUGGGACUGAGACACGGCCCAGACUCCUACGGGAGGCAGCAGUGGGGAAUAUUGGACAAUGGGGGCAACCCUGAUCCAGCCAUGCCGCGUGAGUGAUGACGGCCUUAGGGUUGUAAAGCUCUUUCAGCAGUGAAGAUAAUGACAUUAACUGCAGAAGAAGCCCCGGCUAACUUCGUGCCAGCAGCCGCGGUAAUACGAAGGGGGCUAGCGUUGUUCGGAAUCACUGGGCGUAAAGCGUACGUAGGCGGACUGAUCAGUCAGGGGUGAAAUCCCGGGGCUCAACCCCGGAACUGCCUUUGAUACUGUCAGUCUUGAGAUCGAGAGAGGUGAGUGGAACUCCGAGUGUAGAGGUGAAAUUCGUAGAUAUUCGGAAGAACACCAGUGGCGAAGGCGGCUCACUGGCUCGAUACUGACGCUGA